rnacentral:rRNA from 1 species
UAGGGAAUCUUCGGCAAUGGGGGGAACCCUGACCGAGCAACGCCGCGUGAGUGAAGAAGGUUUUCGGAUCGUAAAGCUCUGUUGUUAAGGAAGAACGAGUGUGAGAAUGGAAAGUUCAUGCUGUGACGGUACUUAACCAGAAAGGGACGGCUAACUACGUGCCAGCAGCCGCGGUAAUACGUAGGGCGCGAGCGUUGUCCGGAAUUAUUGGGCGUAAAGGGCUUGUAGGCGGUUGGCCGCGUCUGCCGUGAAAUCCUCUGGCUUAACUGGGGGCGUGCGGUGGGUACGGGUUGACUUGAGUGCGGUAGGGGAGACUGGAAUUCCUGGUGUAGCGGUGGAAUGCGCAGAUAUCAGGAGGAACACCGGUGGCGAAGGCGGGUCUCUGGGCCGUUACUGACGCUGAGGAGCGAAAGCGUGGGGAGCGAACAGG